UAACAGGAAGAAGCUUGCUUCUUUGCUGACGAGUGGCGGACGGGUGAGUAAUGUCUGGGAAACUGCCUGAUGGAGGGGGAUAACUACUGGAAACGGUAGCUAAUACCGCAUAACGUCGCAAGACCAAAAAGGGGGACCUUCGGGCCUCUUGCCAUCGGAUGUGCCCAGAUGGGAUUAGCUAGUAGGUGGGGUAACGGCUCACCUAGGCGACGAUCCCUAGCUGGUCUGAGAGGAUGACCAGCCACACUGGAACUGAGACACGGUCCAGACUCCUACGGGAGGCAGCAGUGGGGAAUAUUGCACAAUGGGCGCAAGCCUGAUGCAGCCAUGCCGCGUGUAUGAAGAAGGCCUUCGGGUUGUAAAGUACUUUCAGCGGGGAGGAAGGGAGUAAAGUUAAUACCUUUGCUCAUUGACGUUACCCGCAGAAGAAGCACCGGCUAACUCCGUGCCAGCAGCCGCGGUAAUACGGAGGGUGCAAGCGUUAAUCGGAAUUACUGGGCGUAAAGCGCACGCAGGCGGUUUGUUAAGUCAGAUGUGAAAUCCCCGGGCUCAACCUGGGAACUGCAUCUGAUACUG
rnacentral:rRNA from 1 species